GCUGUGGGUAUCUUCCAUUUGUUUUUCAUGCUUCACACUGUGUAUCUUUGAACAUUUAAUCAGCAACUAAUUAUAAGCAAGGAUAUAUUUACUAGCUCAUUUCUCCAUAUUACCAGGUACAUAACAUGCAAAUUAUACAUCAACCUUGCAAUCCAGGCUUUAACCCUGCAGUUGCCCCUCUCCUGCAGCAUGUUUGGGAAGGGAGAGGAAGGAAUCGAGGUACUGUAAUUUCUAUAUUUAGCCCCCUUCUCUUCAAGCCUCUCUCCAAUAACCCCCUCCCCCCUCAUUUGGA